ACUGCUUUCAACUGCUUUUCUAGGGGUGGAAUUAACCUUUACUGCAUUGCUAGCGUUUUAGAGCUUGAAAUAACUAGCACUCAUACGGAUUGGACUUAAACCGUGCUACUAGGCUUAAAAGAAAAGCUUUCACUCUCCCCCCCGAACCGCCCUAUUACACCUAGGCUCAUAUGCUCUUCAAAAGGAAAAUAGGUUUACUUUAUUUCAUUUUGGUUAUGGAAAGUUAAAGUAGUCAAGUUGAC
rnacentral:lncRNA from 1 species